GGAGAGGUGGCCGAGUGGUCUAAGGCGCACGCCUGGAAAGUGUGUGUUCCGCGUGAAACGGGACCGAGGGUUCGAAUCCCUCUCUCUCCG
rnacentral:tRNA from 1 species